rnacentral:tRNA from 1 species
GCCUUCUUAGCUCAGUUGGUAGAGCAUCUCAUUCGUAAUGAGAGGGUCGCGGGUUCAAGUCCCGUGGGGGGCU